rnacentral:rRNA from 1 species
GAUGAACGCUGGCGGCGUGCCUAAUACAUGCAAGUCGAGCGAACAGAUAAGGAGCUUGCUCCUUUGACGUUAGCGGCGGACGGGUGAGUAACACGUGGAUAACCUACCUAUAAGACUGGGAUAACUUCGGGAAACCGGAGCUAAUACCGGAUAACAUAUUGAACCGCAUGGUUCAAUAGUGAAAGGCGGCUUUGCUGUCACUUAUAGAUGGAUCCGCGCCGUAUUAGCUAGUUGGUAAGGUAACGGCUUACCAAGGCAACGAUACGUAGCCGACCUGAGAGGGUGAUCGGCCACACUGGAACUGAGACACGGUCCAGACUCCUACGGGAGGCAGCAGUAGGGAAUCUUCCGCAAUGGGCGAAAGCCUGACGGAGCAACGCCGCGUGAGUGAUGAAGGUCUUCGGAUCGUAAAACUCUGUUAUCAGGGAAGAACAAAUGUGUAAGUAACUGUGCACAUCUUGACGGUACCUGAUCAGAAAGCCACGGCUAACUACGUGCCAGCAGCCGCGGUAAUACGUAGGUGGCAAGCGUUAUCCGGAAUUAUUGGGCGUAAAGCGCGCGUAGGCGGUUUUUUAAGUCUGAUGUGAAAGCCCACGGCUCAACCGUGGAGGGUCAUUGGAAACUGGAAAACUUGAGUGCAGAAGAGGAGAGUGGAAUUCCAUGUGUAGCGGUGAAAUGCGCAGAGAUAUGGAGGAACACCAGUGGCGAAGGCGACUUGUCUGGUCUGUAACUGACGCUGAUGUGCGAAAGCGUGGGGAUCAAACAGGAUUAGAUACCCUGGUAGUCCACGCCGUAAACGAUGAGUGCUAAGUGUUAGGGGGUUUCCGCCCCUUAGUGCUGCAGCUAACGCAUUAAGCACUCCGCCUGGGGAGUACGACCGCAAGGUUGAAACUCAAAGGAAUUGACGGGGACCCGCACAAGCGGUGGAGCAUGUGGUUUAAUUCGAAGCAACGCGAAGAACCUUACCAAAUCUUGACAUCCUUUGACCGCUCUAGAGAUAGAGUCUUCCCCUUCGGGGGACAAAGUGACAGGUGGUGCAUGGUUGUCGUCAGCUCGUGUCGUGAGAUGUUGGGUUAAGUCCCGCAACGAGCGCAACCCUUAAGCUUAGUUGCCAUCAUUAAGUUGGGCACUCUAAGUUGACUGCCGGUGACAAACCGGAGGAAGGUGGGGAUGACGUCAAAUCAUCAUGCCCCUUAUGAUUUGGGCUACACACGUGCUACAAUGGACAAUACAAAGGGCAGCUAAACCGCGAGGUCAAGCAAAUCCCAUAAAGUUGUUCUCAGUUCGGAUUGUAGUCUGCAACUCGACUACAUGAAGCUGGAAUCGCUAGUAAUCGUAGAUCAGCAUGCUACGGUGAAUACGUUCCCGGGUCU